rnacentral:rRNA from 1 species
AGUUGCCAUCAGGUUAAGCUGGGACUCUAAAGAACUGCUACGCAAGUAGUGAGGAAGGCGGGGAUGACGUCAAAUCAGCAGGCCCUUACGUCCAGGGCUACACACGUGCUACAAUGGCCGAUACAGAGGGCAGCUACCUGGUGACAGGAUGCAAAUCUCCAAAGUCGGUCUCAGUUCGGAUCGGAGUCUGCAACCCGACUCCGUGAAGUUGGAUUCGCUAGUAAUCGCGCAUCAGCCAUGGCGCGGUGAAUACGUUCCCGGGCCUU